rnacentral:rRNA from 1 species
GACGAACGCUGGCGGCGUGCUUAACACAUGCAAGUCGAACGGAAAGGCCCUGCUUUUGUGGGGUGCUCGAGUGGCGAACGGGUGAGUAACACGUGAGUAACCUGCCCUUGACUUUGGGAUAACUUCAGGAAACUGGGGCUAAUACCGGAUAGGAGCUCCUGCUGCAUGGUGGGGGUUGGAACGUUUCUGCGGGUGGGGAUGGACUCGCGGCUUAUCAGCUUGUUGGUGGGGUAGUGGCUUACCAAGGCUUUGACGGGUAGCCGGCCUGAGAGGGUGACCGGCGACAUUGGGACUGAGAUACGGCCCAGACUCCUACGGGAGGCAGCAGUGGGGAAUAUUGCACAAUGGGCGGAAGCCUGAUGCAGCAACGCCGCGUGCGGGAUGACGGCCUUCGGGUUGUAAACCGCUUUCGCCUGUGACGAAGCGUGAGUGACGGUAAUGGGUAAAGAAGCACCGGCUAACUACGUG